rnacentral:rRNA from 1 species
CCUACGGGGGGCUGCAGUGGGGAAUUUUGGACAAUGGGCGAAAGCCUGAUCCAGCCAUGCCGCGUGCAGGAUGAAGGCCUUCGGGUUGUAAACUGCUUUUGUACGGAACGAAAAGACUCCUUCUAAUAAAGGGGGUCCAUGACGGUACCGUAAGAAUAAGCACCGGCUAACUACGUGCCAGCAGCCGCGGUAAUACGUAGGGUGCAAGCGUUAAUCGGAAUUACUGGGCGUAAAGCGUGCGCAGGCGGUUAUAUAAGACAGAUGUGAAAUCCCCGGGCUCAACCUGGGAACUGCAUUUGUG